UACAGAGGGCUCAAGCGUUGUUCGGAUUCAUUGGGCGUAAAGGGCGCGUAGGCGGCGCGGUAAGUCGGGGGUGAAAUCUCGGAGCUUAACUCCGAAACUGCAUUCGAUACUGCCGUGCUUGAGGACUGGAGAGGAGACUGGAAUUUACGGUGUAGCGGUGAAAUGCGUAGAUAUCGUAAGGAAGACCAGUGGCGAAGGCGGGUCUCUGGACAAUUCCUGACGCUGAGGCACGAAGGCCAGGGGAGCAAACGGG
rnacentral:rRNA from 1 species